GGAAGGGAGGUGAGCUCUGAUGUGUCCCCAUUACUUCAGACUCUACUCUUGCUGGUACCCUGCUCACUUAGAAGGACCCUAUCGCCUGUAGAUAGAACUGCUUCUAGCAGGAGCAGUGACAGCAGCAGCAGGUAUUCACUAAGAAUACUUCUGGAAGAGAGAAGAGUUACAGUGAUGCAGCUUUAUAUGGAUAACUCUCCACCAGGAACCAGAUGAGGAUGUUAAUUUGCUCUGCACAGACUUCUAAUUGCCAGUUGAAAUGAAAAGUUUUGGCCACAGUGCCCAGAGCUGGUUUUUAGUCAGGUGAAAGCAAGCAGGAAGCUAUCAAAUGGAUCCCAAGAAUGUGGCCAUUCUGACCCAGCUCAUUCAGAUUCACUUAUCUCACAAUAAAAAGAUAGCCACAAUACACCAGCUGUACAGAAGAAGAUAAAUGGUUCAGAUGUCUAUUUGGAACCACUGUGAGGCUGCAAGUAGUCAUCACAAGACAUUGCAGUGGAACAACCCAAACCAAUGCAAAGACCACCAAUAAGCCCACCAUGGACAGCAGGCUUCCCAGUUUGCAGAGUCAUCCACCUUCAGUCACUAAGAACUUUUAGUGUGGACAAUGCUGGAGUAAUCUUUAAAAUUAUCACAGACACCUGUGAGUUGUUUUAGGAAAAGGACCUCCCAUGAGGAGAAGGAGAAGGGCUUCUGUCAGACACUGUAAAUCACAAAGUACCACACUGUGGCUCUGACCAAACAAAUAAAAGAAGAUGUUUAGGAACAAGUUAAACCCUAACAUUCCCAUUGCCAGCUCCUGUGUGGUGCUGCUUAGAUAAGUCUUGCUCCUGAUGGCUAAAGAUAGAAAUGUUUUUCCACUGUGUUGCUGUUUUUCUUUUUAAACUCUAUUAAAGCAGGCCUCAAAAUA